UUGACAUCCUCUGACAACCCUAGAGAUAGGGCUUCCCCUUCGGGGGCAGAGUGACAGGUGGUGCAUGGUUGUCGUCAGCUCGUGUCGUGAGAUGUUGGGUUAAGUCCCGCAACGAGCGCAACCCUUGAUCUUAGUUGCCAGCAUUCAGUUGGGCACUCUAAGGUGACUGCCGGUGACAAACCGGAGGAAGGUGGGGAUGACGUCAAAUCAUCAUGCCCCUUAUGACCUGGGCUACACACGUGCUACAAUGGGCAGAACAAAGGGCAGCGAAGCCGCGAGGCUAAGCCAAUCCCACAAAUCUGUUCUCAGUUCGGAUCGCAGUCUGCAACUCGACUGCGUGAAGCUGGAAUCGCUAGUAAUCGCGGAUCAGCAUGCCGCGGUGAAUACGUUCCCGGGCCUUGUACACACCGCCCGUCACACCACGAGAGUUUGUAA
rnacentral:rRNA from 1 species